UAUGUAUUUCGUGAUGAUGGCAAUAAUUACUGAUAAAUAAAUAAUAACUAAUAAUUAGUGAUAACUGAUAAGUUUUCAAAAGAUAUCAAUUAUAUUUUUAUUACAAUAAAUUGUAGGACUUGGGUUUAAUGGUUAUUCGUAUUUCUAAAAUCAUUAAUACAUCAGAACAAACAAAAAAAAAUUUAUAUCAAUAUCAAGGUCUAAAAACUAGAAAAAAAAUGUUACAAAAAGAUGUGAAAUUGGAUAACACAAGCAAAACAUGGGUUUUAAAGAAACAUAUCGAUUUUUUACAAUCAUUUGGCAAAGAAAGACAUCAAUAUGAAAGUAGUAUGAUGGAAUUUCUUCGUAUGUCUGGUAUGUACUGGGGUUUAACUGCAUUAUAUCUAAUCAAUGAUGGAAAAAUACCAAAAGAAGAUGAAAUAUUUGAAUAUAUUAAAAGUUGUGAACAUAGUUGCGGUGGAUAUUCACCAGCCCCUGGUCAUGAUCCACAUUUAUUGUAUACACUCAGUGCGGUUCAAAUUGCUUGUUUGCUUAAUCGAGAAUUGGAAUUACCAAUUGAAAAGAUUGUGUUGUAUGUAUCUAAACUUCAACAAGAUGAUGGCAGUUUUACUGGAGAUAAAUGGGGAGAAAUAGAUACCCGUUAUUCAUUUUGUGCAUUAGCAUGUUUAUCACUUUUAGGUAAACUAAAUGAGAUUAAUUUAGUUAAAGCCGUAGAGUUUAUAAAAAGCUGCCAAAAUUUUGAUGGAGGUUUCGGAUCACGACCCGGAGCUGAAAGUCAUGGCGGCUUAAUCUAUUGUUGUGUUGGAUCAUUAUCUAUUGCUGGACGAUUAGAUUUAGUUGAUGCUGACACAUUGGGCUGGUGGUUAGCUGAAAGGCAAUUACCAUCUGGCGGACUAAAUGGACGCCCUGAAAAAUUACCAGACGUUUGUUAUUCAUGGUGGGUGUUUUCAACAUUAAACAUUUUAGGACGUGACCAUUGGAUUGAUAAAGAAGAAUUAAAAACUUUUAUUUUAGCAUCUCAAGAUAAUGAAGGAGGUGGAUUCAGUGAUCGUCCUGGAGAUGAACCAGAUCCUUUUCAUACUCUUUUUGGUCUUGCAGCAUUAUCACUAAUGUCAUAUGAUAAAAUUUUACCAAUAGACCCUACUUAUUGCAUGCCAAAAGCAGUUAUUAACCGACUGGGAUUAAAACCUCAAAUUUUGUCCCGACCUUAAAACGCAACUCAUUGACAUUGUGUAUUUGGCAAUAUCUGGCAUAGUGACAUGUCAGUUAUGUUCCCUGUAUCCAAAAAUUCUGUUUUUAACCAUUAUAAUGCGCUAAGAGUAUGGAAUGUUGAAUGUAUCA
rnacentral:misc_RNA from 1 species